UAAAAAGGUCUUCGCCUGGCGCCGAAAAACAAAUAACGACGGCGCCAGGCGGACCAUAUGUCCCAGAAUAGAUCUUCAGCGCUCUAGGAAAAAACCUUUGCCCUCAGGAACUUCUCAGUUGGUAGCCCACAAUAAACCAAGUAUGCUUUACUGAGAGUCCCCCUUUUUGGAAUUCUGUUCCAGCCUCCUGUUUUCCUUGCUCUCUCAAGCUGCUCAUUCAGUCCGAUGAUGGGGCGGCAAAAGGGAGCAAGCAAAACCCAUCUUUUCCACAAGGAGGCAGGCUUUCCACUCAGCAGGCUCCUAAUCAGCCUCUAGUCUGACUCCUCACCCCAAACCGGAGAUGCUCUACCCUUAACAGUGUGUAUGCUUGGUAACUGUGCCUGGUGUCUCCAAAGUGCUGUCGUUUGUUUCCAUUUCUUGCCUGCCUUUCUGGUCACCUUAGUUUUCCUGCACUGCUACCUUUGUGGUUUUUCCUGGGCAUCCUUCUCCUGCCUCCCCCUCUGCCUUCCUCUUAGAACCUCAGUUCAGGGAAGAUACUUGCUGCCUUUUUGAAACCAUCUGGCAUUAAUGCAGGCCUUAACAAAUGGACAGUCAGUCCUUAUAUUCCAUAUUCUUUAUGCCACCUUUGUUAAGCAAGCUAUGUGGUCCCUCAAAUCCAUCUCCUGUCCCCCAGUAAUUCAUUUAAACCCUAUCUUUCUUGCAUCCAGGUAUCCUGUGGCUUAGAUAAUGUGUUCUAAUGAGAUUUCCUUCUGGGCCAGAAGCAAAAACUGAUGUGGGAGAAGUGGUUGUAUAACUAUCAGUUUGGCAUUGACCUUUGACCCAAAACAAGGAAAGAAGUCUCUUCUGUGGAGCAGUGAUCAGGUCCAUGCGAGUCAGAAGUGACAACAAUGGUGGACAUUUAAUCGAAAAUCAUGUAUUGAAGUCCUGUGAACUGAUCCCAGGGCCUAGAAGCGGACAGCGUGAGUUGCCUUGCGUGGAAGCUAAGGUGUAGGCACCUACAGGAUUCCCAAGACAUUGGGCAUUCAGGCACAAAUAAACUGCCAUGCCUGCGAUUUGACUUUGUCUGGGCAGUGACAUUCAGUGUGGCCAAGUGGAAAUUACUCAGAAAAGUGGUUAUAACUUCCUAAUUGACUUGAACUUCCAUGACCACAGAAGUAGCUGUUUUGGAAUGUGAAAUACUUCAGUCUUUCACAACAUAGAAAGGGAAUUAAACUGGGAAAGUGAACUGGCAUUAAAGGCAGGGACAUUUCUUCUGUAUCUAGGGAGGCCUAUCCUUCGGUAGACAUGCAUAGCUUAGCAUUGCACUGUAAUUAAAUUAAUAAGAAGUC